UGGGGAAUUUUGGACAAUGGGCGAAAGCCUGAUCCAGCAAUGCCGCGUGUGUGAAGAAGGCCUUCGGGUUGUAAAGCACUUUUGUCCGGAAAGAAAUCCUUGGCUCUAAUACAGUCGGGGGAUGACGGUACCGGAAGAAUAAGCACCGGCUAACUACGUGCCAGCAGCCGCGGUAAUACGUAGGGUGCAAGCGUUAAUCGGAAUUACUGGGCGUAAAGCGUGCGCAGGCGGUUUGCUAAGACCGAUGUGAAAUCCCCGGGCUCAACCUGGGAACUGCAUUGGUGACUGGCAGGCUAGAGUAUGGCAGAGGGGGGUAGAAUUCCACGUGUAGCAGUGAAAUGCGUAGAGAUGUGGAGGAAUACCGAUGGCGAAGGCAGCCCCCUGGGCCAAUACUGACGCUCAUGCACGAAAGCGUGGGGGAGCAAAACAGGAUUAGAUACCCUGGUAGUCCACGCCCUAAAACGAUGUCAACUAGUUGUUGGGGAUUCAUUUCCUUAGUAACGUAGCUAACGCGUGAAGUUGACCGCCUGGGGGAGUACGGUCGCAAGAUUAAAACUCAAAUGAAUUGACGGGGUCAUAGCUGUUUCC
rnacentral:rRNA from 1 species